UACAGAGGUGGCAAGCGUUGUUCGGAAUUACUGGGCGUAAAGGGCGCGUAGGCGGCCUUCUAAGUCAGACGUGAAAUCCCCAGGCUUAACUUGGGAACUGCGUCUGAUACUGGAAGGCUUGAGUGCAGGAGAGGGAUGUGGAAUUCCAGGUGUAGCGGUGAAAUGCGUAGAUAUCUGGAGGAACACCGGUGGCGAAGGCGGCAUCCUGGACCGACACUGACGCUGAGGCGCGAAAGCUAGGGGAGCAAACGGG
rnacentral:rRNA from 1 species